CCAAACCGGCAACGCGCCCGCCACCCCGCCCCCAACCGGCGGUGGCGCCGCCACCGGCCGACAUCACCCCCCUCUUCCCGAGAUCCUCUUCGACGCCACUACACCACCGGCGAACCUCGCGCGCCGCCGCCCGCUGCAAACCUCGCGCGCCACGGCCUCUUACCGAAUCCAACCGGCGGAGCUCGCCACGGCAACCACCGCGUUCUUCCUCUCGCCGCCGCCCUGGAGAGGAACCUCCCAAACAUGCGCCACGGUGGAGCUCGCCUGCCCCAGUGCCUCUUCUCCACGCAUGCCCUUCUUCCUCGCCGGAGCUGAUGUGGGCCGCCACAUCACCCCGCUGGCCGGGAUCCCCCUCCCCUGCCCCCGCGCCGUCCUGGCCGGCCACACUGACCUUCUCAUGAGAGCCACCUUGACCUUCCUGGAAUAAGGUUCAUCCAUGGAGCGGCCGCUCCCGCCCCUCCAUCUCCGGCGAGGUGCGCCAUCCCCUCCUUCAGUGCCCCCUUCGGGUGAAGCUCCACGCCACCACCAUCGUCACGCCAUUCCAGCCACUAGCACGCACAUGUUGUUCUCCUCGUGACGGCCAACUUGAACUUCCUGAGCGUCUCAAUAGCCAUGGAGAAACCUGAAGAUGCAGUUGGAGAAAAGGAAGGGCUAAAGAGGGUAAGGCGUCAUGGACUAGUGGUAAAACAAGCUUUCUUGUACCAAUGAUGAAGGAGUGUGGAUGCAACAAACUUCUGUGUUCAAAAUUGAUGGACAAAGGAGUUGCAGCACACAGAGCAAAACCUAUCUCAGGUACCUCUCACACUAAGGUCCAGAGGGAGUGACAGCGCCGGGGAGAGCAGCACAACAACGAUGACGAAUGCCAGAACGUACAGGCGGCGCUCCGACAAGAGGCCGUGCUUGCCGUCGGCCUCCUUUGCAUCUUCUUCCACGAGUGUUUCUAGUAGGGCUCGAUGUUUAUUAAAAAAGAGUAAGACAUUUACACUUUUCUUCAGGAAGACAUUUGUAAGUCAAAAAACAUGAACUUUUCUUCAACAACGAUGUAAUGCCUGAGAACAAAGUUCUGCUAUGCCUGAGAAUAUAUGGAGUACGUGGCUGGUGUUUAUGCAAA